UACGUAGGGUGCAAGCGUUAAUCGGAAUUACUGGGCGUAAAGCGUGCGCAGGCGGUUGUGUAAGACAGAUGUGAAAUCCCCAGGCUCAACCUGGGAACUGCGUCCGAUACUGGAUGGCUUGAAUUCGGGAGAGGGAUGCAGAAUUCCAGGUGUAGCGGUGAAAUGCGUAGAUAUCUGGAGGAAUACCGGUGGCGAAGGCGGCAUCCUGGACCGACAUUGACGCUGAGGAGCGAAAGCUAGGGGAGCAAACGGG
rnacentral:rRNA from 1 species